rnacentral:rRNA from 1 species
CAACUUUCAGCAACGGAUCUCUUGGCUCUCGCAUCGAUGAAGAACGCAGCGAAAUGCGAUAAGUAAUGUGAAUUGCAGAAUUCAGUGAAUCAUCGAAUCUUUGAACGCACCUUGCGCUCCUAGGUAUUCCGAGGAGCAUGCCUGUUUGAGUGUCAUGA